CAGUCGCCGCGGUAAUACGAAGGGGGCUAGCGUUGUUCGGAAUUACUGGGCGUAAAGCGCACGUAGGCGGAUACUUAAGUUAGGGGUGAAAUCCCAGGGCUCAACCCUGGAACUGCCUUUAAUACUGGGUAUCUUGAGUUCGAGAGAGGUAAGUGGAAUUCCGAGUGUAGAGGUGAAAUUCGUAGAUAUUCGGAGGAACACCAGUGGCGAAGGCGGCUUACUGGCUCGAUACUGACGCUGAGGUGCGAAAGCGUGGGGAGCAAACAGGAUUAGAUACCCCAGUAGUCCCUGUCUCUUAUAA
rnacentral:rRNA from 1 species